rnacentral:rRNA from 1 species
UACGUAGGGUGCGAGCGUUGUCCGGAAUUAUUGGGCGUAAAGGGCUCGUAGGCGGUUUGUCGCGUCGGGAGUGAAAACACGGGGCUUAACCCCGUGCCUGCUUCCGAUACGGGCAGACUAGAGGUAUGCAGGGGAGAACGGAAUUCCUGGUGUAGCGGUGAAAUGCGCAGAUAUCAGGAGGAACACCGGUGGCGAAGGCGGUUCUCUGGGCAUUACCUGACGCUGAGGAGCGAAAGCGUGGGGAGCGAACAGG